rnacentral:rRNA from 1 species
AGAGUUUGAUUAUGGCUCAGGAUGAACGCUGGCGGCGUGCUUUAUACAUGCAAGUCGAACGUGAAGCUGACUUCGGUCAGUGGAAAGUGGCGGACGGGUGAGUAAUACAUAGGAAAUCUGCCCUUAGGAAGGGGAUAACAGUCGGAAACGAUUGCUAAUACCCUAUAUGAGCUUGGUUGCAAUACCAAUCUUGAAAACUCCGGUGCCUAAGGAUGAGCCUGUGCCUGAUUAGCUUGUUGGUGGUGUAAUGGACCACCAAGGCGACGAUCAGUAGCUGGUUUGAGAGGAUGAUCAGCCACAAUGGAACUGAGACACGGUCCAUACUCCUACGGGAGGCAGCAGUAGGGAAUUUUGGGCAAUGGGCGAAAGCCUGACCCAAGCAACGCCGCGUGUGUGAUGAAGCCCCUAGGGGUGUAAAACACUGUCAGUAGGGAAGAAUCAAUGACUGUACCUACAGAGGAAGCACCGGCUAACUCCGUGCCAGCCGCGGC